rnacentral:rRNA from 1 species
AAAGGUAAUGUCAGGGCUGACCGCUAUUAACGAUCAACUUUCUUCCCAAUUGAAAGUGCUUUACAACCCUAAGGCCUUCUUCACACACGCGGCAUGGCUGCGUCAGGCUUUCGCCCAUUGCGCAAUAUUCCCC